GUUUUAUAUCCCUUCUAGGACAUCUGAUGAAAUUGAAACGACACAGAAGAAGAUUAGCACGUGGGUCCUGCACAAGGAUGACCACACACAAAUCGAAAAAUUGUAAGAGUUU
rnacentral:snRNA from 1 species